rnacentral:lncRNA from 10 species
AAUAAUUUCUAAACAUUUUUAUUUCAAAUCUCUUUUCACCCCUCCCCAAAAAGACAUGGGUAGGUACAGCAAUCAUAAAAAGGAGAUACAAACACAAGAGUCAAAUGUCUCUCGCACUGACACUUACAAAAAACUGGGAAUUGUACAUGGGGUUUCCAAACAGGACCUGCAGCAGCUACUAACGUCCCUUUACGAGAGUCAAACAUGCCUAUUAAUACAGUAUAUACAGACACCCCAUUCUGGAACUAAUCUACAGGGACAUCCCUAACCCCACCCCCUCUAUCCCCAGAAAAAUACCAAAACACACCCAAAGUGCAUUUGUUUUGUUUAUAUCAAAACCUCUUUCCCUUUCCCCAUCCCACCCUCAGACCCCUCCCACCCCAUUUAAGAUUGGCCUGCAAGUCUAUUUUAACCAUUUAGUAUUUUUUUAUAGUUUAUGAAAAUAAAUUAUACAGCAACUAUUUUAAUAAAUUAAGCACAAAAGGAAGGGUAAAAGAGGAAAACUAAAUGGGAAGACAAAAGCCAGGCCACGCUUUGGCUUGGAGGAGGGCAGAGGGGGGGCUAACGGAGACAGAAGUGGUUGCAAGGGGUGGCUCCCUUUCUGGUGAAAAAUUGGCAACCACCCCGAGCCCAGAAUGACACCCCUCUUCAUCGAGUUUCUUAAAAACAACCAAAAACGUACAGCAGUGGCUAUGCCACAGGCAGCACCAGUGUGGGCAUUCCAACAGCCAGCUACCCAAAGUGGCACCUGGACCCUACCUGUCCCUUGGACAGGUUCUGGGCCUAAGAGUGAGGGACAGGUCCCCGCCCAAGGGAGCACCAGAGAUGGAGGAGUGAGAGCAGGCUUCUGCUCCACCUGAGCUGGUUAGGGAGCUCAGGACGAAACUCUGAGCGGGGCAGUGUGGUAUGUGAUGAUCCCAGAGUCUGAGGAAGAGUGUCCUAAGUUCCUCACACUCUAUCUCCAGGAGGAACUACGAUCGCAGUCCAGCUGCAACCAAACAUGCAUGUCUUCCCGCCGUGGCUGGCUGCUUUCUGUCUGCCCCUCCAGGCCUCUUGGUGUUGCAGAGGAGGGGGUAGGAGAGGGAAAGGGAACGGUUCCAGGUCACCUCUAAACCCUCUAGAAAUGAAAUGGGAAUGAAGCAGGUCACAAACUCAGCAUGCAGGGCUGGCUUCCCGGGAGGUAGAUGGGAGUGGGACGGGAUAGCAGGUGUGGAGAGGACAGGAAGGGAAACAGGAAGAAACUGAGCGACACCUGCCAGGAAGGUCAAGAAGCAAUGAAAAGGACAAAGACAAUAUGAAAUCUGCAUGAAAAGACAGGUCCUUUUCUGGCAGAUUAGAGAAUCAACAUUUUCAGUACAACUCAUAACGCUACUUUCCUAACUGCAGUACCCGAGUCCCCAGCGCCUGUCUCUAUGAUCCAACCCCCAUUUCACUGCUCCCAAGACUUUGCUCUCCAUUUUAUCAAGGCCUCCAAUCAUUUUGUGCUGAGUGUGAAGGCUCCAAUGUGAAAGCAGGGUCUACCACAGGGACGUGCAGACUUGACCUUUGUGACCCAAUCAUUUUAUAGCUAUCGCAGCAUAGGAGGGGGGCACACUUUUCUUUCUUUUUUUUUUCUUUUUCUUUUUUUAAUAAAAAAGGUUUUACUCCCCAGGAGCAAAUAAAUCAUUUUGAACUACUGAUAAACACUGCUGCAGUGAAAAGAAAGAUGGCUACAUGUAUGCAAUAGCACAAAUUCAGUGGAAGAACAGCUGUGUUGACGAUUAGAGAUAAAAAUCACUUAUCCAUUCCCUCCUUUCCCACAAACCAAACCGAGGAUUCCCAUAGGGAAAAUGUCUAACUCAAUAGCUCCUCCCUUACAUGACAGGGGGUGUGUCAUUCUCUUAACAGUGGAAAACAAAUGCCAGGUCAGCACCAAUGGUCCCAAAGAGCCGGUUGCCACCCACUUACCUAGUGCCCACACCAAAACCCCCGCCCGCCUACUCCUGUGCUACCAACAUAGCACACGAAUUUCAAGUAACAGCAAGUUGUAGCAGUAGUUGUCACUGGCUCACAGCAGCUCACUCUCAACCUGAGGAAGGUUACAGUAGAUCAGUCAUAAACAGGUGAGGGUUAUGCAGGCACUGAGGCCACUGAUAUCACCCACCCACAACUUAGGAAUCAACAGUGGGUCCCUAGAUGUAAGCCUUUUCCAAUUUGUGACUUGAAAAUACAACCAGAAAGAAAUUAUUUAUUUUUUUUGAGAUGGAGUCUCACUCUGUCGUCUAGGCUAGAGGGCAGUGGCGCAAUCUCGGCUCAGUGCAACCUCCGCCUCCUGGGUUCAAGCAAUUCUCCUGUCUCAGCCUCCCAAGUAGCUGGGACUACAGGCGCAUGCCACCAUGCCCAGCUAAUUUUUGUAUUUUAGUAGAGAUAGGGUUUCACUGUUUGGCCAAGCUGGUCUUGAACUCCCGACCUCAUGAUCCACCCACCUCAGCCUCCCAAAGUGCUGGGAUUACAGGCGUGAGCCACCGCGCCCAGACCUAGAAAGGAAUACAUUUAAAUGAGCUCUGCACAGCACUGGCGAAGGAGGGACGGGCCUGGUCAGGGAGGUGAAGGGCAGGUGCUGCCACACCUGCUCCUCUGCUCCAUUUACUCUCUGACCAGGCUGUAUCCCAGAGAGCUGGCCCAGCCCCAUGCCUCCCCCUCAUCUUCCCCUAACUGCUCUGUGCAAGGCCACCCAUGCAGGCACCAAACACCCACACCUGACGAAGACUGUCUCCUCUUGCGCUGCUGUUUUGCAGCCCACUCCACAGAGAAAGGACUAGGCUGCGGCCAGGGCUGGGACCAGUGCACUGACACAGACACAGUUCAACACGACACUCCCCAGGAGGAGAAAGGUGGGUGGUGAGGUUGGGUCACACCUCCUCAGUUGGUUUGUUUUGUACCUGAAUGUAUGAGUUCUCCAGAAGAAACCCCAGUAACACAGGGGGUGCAGAGGCUCUGCCUCCCUCACAUGGCCUGAGCUGACCAUAGUGAGGCCCUGGCAAUGGGCAGGAGCCUUGCUGACUCCUUUGGGCUUUGGGCUCCACCUCACCAUCAUAACCCCUUGGCACUCAGGUCUGCCUGGUGGCUGGGAAGCUUCCAUCUAGAAAACCGCACUGGAAAGGAUUCUUUAACCAUGUUGCUCUAACAGGGCUGUGCACUGUUCAGUACAUGCCAUGCAGAUUUCUGCUUCCUUGCUUUUGCUCAUGUGUUUUUCAUCUCACUGUCUGUCCUGCCAUUGACUACAACCCAAAGCCUCAGAGGCACAGAACUUUCCCAGACCAUCUGGUCUACCCUGAUCUUAUCUACUAUAAACGUCUUUAGAUAGUCCUUGAUUUUCUGCUUGAUGUGCAGCAGUCACCUAAAAGCUCCCUUAGGCCACAUAUUACGUCUUUUACCUUUUUUGUUUUCUACAAUAUCUAGCGCAAAGCCAGGCACACACACACUAAAAAAUAAUAUUAAAAUUAUGGGUGGUUGAAAAGGAACAAAAAAAAGAAAGAUCCCAGGCUGUAUAUCAGCCACCCAAGGAUCUCAACAGAUUCCAACUUCAGGCUCUAUAUUGGGGUGGCACUUCCUGCAAGAUGGCGAGUUAUAUUACUUGUACUCUCACGAGGCAACACUCACAUGCUAAGCCAAUUUCUGGGAUCACAAUCUUGCUUAGUUGAUAAUACUACCAUGGAAGCCAAGGAAAGAAGAGGUACCACAUGACAAAUCAGAGGUGGGCUGUGUUUAUGGUGCACAGCUCAUCUUGUGGGCCACCCUUCCACAGUCAGGUAAUGGUGCAAGUUUCCUCCCUGUUCAGCUACAAGGAGGAAGACUGGUCACUCCACGUGGGACUAAGGAAGAAGGCAAUGCUCCCAGAUGAGGCAGUCCUAUAAAUUACCAGGACACUGGGGCCCCACCCAAACCAUCAGGAAGCCACAAACCUGACAUUAGUAUCUGUCUUGUGACACGAGGCAACUAUAAGCAUGGGGAACCCAGAAAGAGAGUCCCAUGGAACACACGCAAAGGAGUCAUGAAGACCCAACAGCUCCACUGUUACAUCUCAAUAGCAAACCUCUCCCCAGAGCAGCUCUAUAAGAAAGCAAACUCACAAUGUCAUAUGAAUUGGCCAUGGCCAGCUGCAGAAACCAUUAAAGACCAUUGGAGUUUUUCUCCCCGCUCCUCCUGAAAGCAGGGACAGGCAGCUCUCAAAUCGGCAUCUGGCAGACUUUCCAGUGAGUGGAGACCAGCAGGAUCUGAUCCGGAAAUGUCUGGGUUGCUAGAAUGAACACAAGAAAAUACAGAAGCCCUUGCUACCUCCCAUCCCAGAAGUGGGAUGGCAGUGAUAAACCUAAAAACGUGAGAUGCGAUGCUCUCCUCUGACCUAAGGAAAUCCCGUGAGGGCUGCGUUCUGAGAGCUUCCUCUAGGAAGAGCACAACUGUGGGAGCUGUAUUUCUCACCUUCCUCCACAUUCCCCCUCACAAGCUGACAGGCACAUGGAAGUAACACUCACUCCUAAGUCAUGAGUACAGUUUGCCAUGAAGAACCUGGAAACAUGCUCCAUUAAAUUCAGCAGCCCAUGACUGGCUCUGAACCGCCCAGGUGAUGGGAAACACGAUUGCCAUGACAGCUGGCAGAAGCAAUAGGGAUGCUGUUACCAUGAUCAGAGUGACAUGUACAGUUAUCUCAAGGGGCAAUGGGUUGAGAGCAGAGGAAGAACGGGGUUAACUUCAGGUCAUGGAACUUAAGGAAUUAAGUAAAUCACAACUAGUACAGCUUCCAUGAGAGGUGUUUCUGAACUCAGGUUCCUAAACCUUAAAAAAGGAUGCAGGAGUCACUACUUCUCCCAGCUAAGGCCAAUUGGCUAGGUUUUGCCCAAUAUUCUUUUCGAGACCACCCACCCUCCUUUCUCUCCUGCUCCUACAACAGCUGCCCAUGGCAACAAGAGGCAGAUUCCCCCUUCCUCAGGAACUCCCAGUCCUUUGCAAACCUCAAGCCCCUCCUCCCAUCUUCCAGGCCCACAGCACAGACUCUAACUCUGCCUUUGGCACCAGCUGAAUGGCCGUCCCCUGUUCCCUCCUCCCACCCCUUCUUUGGACCUGCUCACCCUUCGCACCACUUUCAAUCCAACGGGCACAAACCCCAACUGCCUUCAAGGUGAGUUUUCCAUACCAAGUAAUAUAAAUAUCAAAAACAAAACUUCUGAAAAAGAAACAGUGUUGAGACUUCUUCCAGUUUUCCAAGGAGCCCCUCCAGUCCUAAGAUGCCCAGGGGUGGGUGUGAGGUGGAG